UUUUAAAAAAUUAUUUAUCUUGAGAGAGAGAGUGUGAGCAGCACUGGGAGGGGCAGAGAGAGGAAGAGAGAGAUUCUCAAGCAAACUCCAUGCUGAGUGCAGAGUCUGAUGCAUGGGUCAAUCCCACAACUGUGGAUCAUGGCCUGAGCCAAAACUGAGUUGGACAAUUAAUGGACUGCGCCACCCAGACCCAGCCAGGAAGAAGGUCAAGGAAAAAUUUUCUUCCCCUACAGCUGGAAUGCCCCAGGCCUCAGGGCUGGGACCUCUUCUCUACUUACACCAUUCCCUAGGGGAAAAAGAAAAGUUUUCCUGGAUGCCUCACCCAGGGGACUUACACUUGCAACAGAAUGAUCAGACCAUGUUACCCGAUAUUUAAGUGUAUGCUGUCACUAAUGGUCCUAUGGUUUGGGAGAUACUGAAUUGACUCAUCCCUCCAAAGGCCAACCUGUGAUCUAGACCUGACAAAUCAGAGCAAUGCAUUCCCACAGCCAGCUAUUGGCUUGGGGAUGGAUGGACUGAACAAGGCAAACAAAAGAGGUUCAGUCGACAUGAACCUAGCAUUUUUACUGGAGCAACUGGAAAAGAGCACUUCUCUGAGGAUGAAAGCCGGGAACUAGACAUUGUGGAUGUACUGCCACCAUGACAGCACCUACAUGAGAAAGGACCAACCCUGAGGAAAGAAGAGCAGAGAAAGAGAAAGGCCUGAUUCUCCUGACAUCAUUUUGUUCCCUAGGCUAGUGAUUUUUUUUUUUUUUUUUCUGUAAAAGGCCAGGCAGGAAAUAUUUCAGGGCUUGGAGCUAUGAGAUUAUUAGUUGUAAUAAAUAUUUAUUUUGGACUUCACCUAUGGUUCCUGGCUCAGAGUUCCCCAAAUGCCUUGUAAUUUCCUAAGCAGUAAGAGCAAUAGGAGCAUCUUUUGUUCUAAUGUUUAGUCUUUCAUCCAUAGUUCCUGAAAUCACUUCAGAGCCAUAAAGUUGCCAUGGGUGUCUUGUUAUUCACAGUAAGUCCCAUUCAACCACAGCUGAAUUUUUAUUAAUGUCCUUAAGAUGCAGGGGCGGGGGUGGGGCGUGCCAGGGAAACCAACCAUUAGACUCAAUUUAUUAGAAUAGAGGGUUGGAACUUUCAGCUCCUCCCCACAACCUCUGAAGGGAGGAGGAGCUGGAGGUUGAAUCAGUCACCAGUGGCCAAUGAUUUAAUCAAUCAUGCGUAUGUAAUGAAGCCCCCCAAAAA